AGAGAAUAAUCAAGUUACUGCUAAUAAUUUGUUGUCAUUUGAAUUUGACUCUCUUUU
rnacentral:tRNA from 1 species